UGACAGCAUAAUCUUCUGUGACAUCUUAAUCAGCACCCCGGCAACCGACAGAACCCGGACACCAGCAUCACACUCAGCGCUCCGGGAGCCAGCAGGGCCUGGAGGGCCCACCUCCUCCUCAGCCUUAACCCUUGCCUGCCCACCCCAACCCCUCGUGGAAUGGGGGGAUGGUGGUUGGUUUUGAAGUCAAACAGAUAUUGUUUCAGCUUUAAGCUUUACCAUGCCACAUUUCUAAACUUCGGUUUCCUAAUCUGUACAGUGGGGAUAAUGAUGCCCGUCCGGCUAGUGUACAAAAUUGGAUGAGGGCAUUGCAAAAGGACGUGAAUGGGCCACAACAUCUAAAGGAACUGGGGCACCUGGGAGUUUUCAUUUCCAUUAUUUCACUUGGAGCCAGUGGUUUUCAGAGCGGGGGGCCAGUGGCACCACAGAGCUGCCUGGAUAAAAAUAGAGUUGCUGUGAAGAUGAAGUAAAUGAAGACAUGCUGAGAACUCAGAACAACGCUUGGCAACAGUAAUUGUUUAAUACGUGCUAUUAUUAACAAGUAAUAGUCUUUCCCA
rnacentral:lncRNA from 1 species